UACGUAGGGUGCAAGCGUUGUCCGGAAUUAUUGGGCGUAAAGAGCUCGUAGGCGGUCUGUCGCGUCUGCUGUGAAAACUCAGGGCUUAACCCUGAGCUUGCAGUGGGUACGGGCAGACUAGAGUGCGGUAGGGGAGACUGGAAUUCCUGGUGUAGCGGUGAAAUGCGCAGAUAGUCAGGAGGAACACCGGUGGCGAAAGGCGGGUCUCUGG
rnacentral:rRNA from 1 species